rnacentral:rRNA from 1 species
CUACGGGGGGCAGCAGUGGGGAAUAUUGGACAAUGGGCGCAAGCCUGAUCCAGCCAUGCCGCGUGAGUGAUGAAGGCCUUAGGGUUGUAAAGCUCUUUCGUCAGGGAAGAUAAUGACGGUACCUGAAGAAGAAGCCCCGGCUAACUUCGUGCCAGCAGCCGCGGUAAUACGAAGGGGGCUAGCGUUGCUCGGAAUCACUGGGCGUAAAGCGCACGUAGGCGGCUUUCUAAGUCAGGGGUGAAAUCCUGGAGCUCAACUCCAGAACUGCCUUUGAUACUGGAGAGCUUGAGUUCGGGAGAGGUGAGUGGAACUGCGAGUGUAGAGGUGAAAUUCGUAGAUAUUCGCAAGAACACCAGUGGCGAAGGCGGCUCACUGGCCCGAUACUGACGCUGAGGUGCGAAAGCGUGGGGAGCAAACAGGAUUAGAUACCCCUGUAGUC